CAGCUGUAUCUCGUACAGAUUUACAUCGAGAUGAUUUGCAUCGCAGCACAAGCUUCAGCAGGUUUUAUAUCUCUGUGAGUCUGAACUCUGAGAAUCUGAACCAACAGCAACCAUGAGCUUCAUCACCAUCUUCAUCUGGAUCUUCACUAGCUGCUGUUUCACAGAAUCAGCAGGUGAAGUGACAGUCACUCAGACGCCUGCAGUGAAACCUGUUCAACCAGGAGACACAGUUACUAUGUCCUGUAAAACCAGUCCUGAAGUUUACCAGGGUUACAGUUUUCAGCCUCUAUCCUGGUACUUACAGAAACCUGGAGAAGCUCCUAAACUCCUGAUUUAUGGAACAAGCAGUCUCCAGUCAGGAACUCCAUCUAGAUUCAGUGGCAGUGGAUCUAACAGUGAUUUCACUCUGACCAUCAGUGGAGUCCAGACUGAAGAUGCUGGACAUUAUUACUGUCAGAGUUACCAUGAAAUCAACAGUGAUUAUGUGUUCACACAGUGAUUGUGAGUGGUACAAAAACCUGUGUCAGUCAGAGUCACAGUGACUGAACUGAUGCUGCAGCUGAUCAAACACUAUCACUCACUACUGACACACAGAGACCAAACACAGAACUACACAUGAGCUCACAACUGAGUUAGGACUCACAUCAGCUCUAUUAGACUCAGAUCUGUCCUGUGACAGACGGGUCUGACUCAGUUAUGCUCUGAUUUGUGAUGAAUUGAUAUCAUAUCAAUCCAAAAACACACAAAUGUUUCUUUGUUACAGUUUGUUAGUUUUUUUGUUUUUUUAUGUGUACUUACAAUCAUACUGAUAAACUUCCUUACGAAACUACGACUCAAACUUCAUAACUGUCUCAUCAGUGCAUGAGCAGAAGUGAAAGUGUUUCAGUUCAGAGCGUUGAACCGAUCAAACAGUGAAACUGUGAGUUUGAGCUGAAAUCAGAUUUGCAUUGACAGCUUUAGUGAUUCUGAUGGUCUCAGAAUAGAGCAGCUCCGUCUCCAGAGACCAUGUUCAAACCCCAAGAGCUUCAGUUCACAUUUACUGCUAAACACAGCUGUUCUCAACUAUUACAAUCCAUCAACAGCAGCUGAAACUUUAGUGAAGGAAGGACACACUGAUCAAUGAUGCAGUCGAACACAAAUGGAAGGCGUUCAGAAGCUUUAUUGAAUGAACAGCAAUGGCAGCACAUUGAAAGACUGCUUGAGUAUUGAGCUGUAAAUCAGGAGACUGCUGUGAAUCCUGCUGCUCUUCACUGGAGAAACAUCAGCACUCGGAGCUCUUGAGGAACGAGGUCUCGUGAUCAGCUCCGUCAUGUGUUACUCUGCAGACGAAGCGCUCGCCGGCUUCCCAGCGUGCUUUG